AGGGCACCACAAGAACGCGUGGAGCAUGUGGCUUAAUUUGACUCAACGCGGGAAAUCUUACCGGGUCCGGACACACUGAGGAUUGACAGGCAAUAUUAAUAUUAUUUUAUUAUAUGUAUUAUGUUAAAUAUGCUAGUCCUUUCAUGAUUAUGUGAUAGGUGGUGCAUGGCCGUUCUUAGUUCGUGGAGUGAUCUGUCUGCUUAAUUGCGUUUCACUAAGGGCCUAUAAAUUUACGUAUGUUGCAUCGCACUUUGACCCCUUUCUUAAUUGAAAGCGCGUGUCUUAGUUUCCGCUUUGCUCAUACAAUUAGGUCCUGAAAGCAACGAACGUGACCGCAACCUCUUGUUGCCUUUAUACCAAACAUGUUUAUUCAUUUUUUAAUGUUCAUUCAUGAAAAAAGGCUUUUUAAACUAGAGGGACCGCUGUUACUUUCUUAAACCAGAGGAAGGUUGCGGCAAUAACAGGUCUGUGAUGCCCUUAGAUGUUCCGGGCUGCACACGUGCUACAAUGAUUAUUGCAGUGAGCAUCUCAUUUUUACACACCGCAUGCGCGAGUCCAUUUAUUCACCUUCGGGUGUUUUAAAUGUGUACCUCUGCGCGCGGUAAAGCCUGCUUCGAGAGCAAGUGGGUAAUCAAUUAGAAGUAAUGAUUUCCUUUUUUUUAGCACACAUAUAUACGGCGUCUAUGCCCGGGUUACCUUGUUGUAGCUUUUGUGCGUAUAGAUGUUUUUUCCGUAUGUGCGAUUGUCAAUUCAUGGUGGGGACAGACCAUUGUUAAUUGUUGGUCUCGGUCUUAACUAGGAAUGCCUUGUACGGGUCUUUGGUUCAACAAACCACCCGGAAUACGUCCCUGCCCUUUGUACACACCGCCCGUCGCUCUUACCGAUGGACUUCUCUGUGAGUUUGAGGGACUGGGAACGCAGGAAUUUAUUUCUGCACACCUAUGGAAACUUAAACGAA
rnacentral:rRNA from 1 species